UACGAAGCGUCCAAACGUUAUUCGGAAUCACUGGGCUUAAAGAGUCCGUAGGCGGCCAAUUAGGUGAGGUGUGAAAUCCCCCGGCUUAACCGAGGAAUUGCGCUUCAAACCGAUUGGCUAGAGGAAGAUAGAGGAAAGCGGAACUGAUGGUGGAGCGGUGAAAUGCGUUGAUAUCAGCAGGAACACCGGUGGCGAAAGCGGCUUUCUGGGUCUUUUCUGACGCUGAGGGACGAAAGCUAGGGGAGCGAACGGG
rnacentral:rRNA from 1 species